UUGAAUCUGAAAAUGUGGAAGACAGUAAGUUGAUAAAAAAACAAAUAUUAAUUAAGGAUAUAUAUAAAUAUUUCAAGAAAGUGUUGAACUUUUUUCCCUAUAUUUUAUUACAAUCUGCAAUUUCUGAUUACAUGUAAUUUACAGAUACAUAGACAUAUUUACAUUGAGGGGAACAAAUAAUAUUAUUCUCCCACAUAGGGCACAGGGCCGCAGGGCUCAUUCCUCUUGAGAGCCUUACAGGAUUGUAGGGAUGGGUUAUGUUGGAUAAGGCAUAGACAAGACUAUUGGGAUGAUGGGAAAGAUUAUUAUAGAACUUGGUACAUUUUUUGGGAAUGAAUUUUUGAUAAAUGGAAUUUAAAGUCAUUGUGGAGACAUGAUUCAGAGCUUUUAUAAUUGAUAUGAGGCCUUUAAAUUAAAAGGAUUGGAGAAGUUGGAUAUUGGAAGGUUUAGCAGUUCCCCACAGUUCUAUCCUGAAUGUCCCAAUUGUUUGUAGUACCAUUUCGUAGAUUGUAAGUUUUUUUUGUCGAUAGCUUGGAUUGUCAUCUUAUAGGCUUGUAGCGACUGUUUAGGCCUUGUUUCUGUCAUGUAUACCGAUUUCAUGUUAAUCAUGAGUCUAGAUGGUACCCAAGAGAACAAACGCAGUAGACUAUGAGAGGAGAUUUGUUUUAGAGUGUAAUUUCAAUUGUUUUCAUUUAUCUUCAUUUUCUAUUGUUUACACUAAUCUCUAUACAUGUGACAAGUCUGUGCAGAUCUUAUAAAGCAACCUCAAGGGGGCAUUGAUGGCCGCAACAGUUUAGGCGUUGACACGGUGCUCAUCUCUGUACGGUAAAGGUCCCGGGUUCGAAUCCCUACAUUCCAACCCGACAUACAAAUGAGCUUUUUAUUUUCCACCGGCACCCUGAGGGUUUAUAUGACCUCUGCUGUUGCGUAAAAAAAAAGGUAAGAAGAUAGAACAGCUGUGUCAUCGACAAAAGAUUCAAGGAGGAUGGUAAGUAUAGUGAGAACGUAUGCAGUAUAAAGGACAUAGAUGGCUGAUACUCCAGUAGCCAGCCAGAGAGCAGUAUUUGGAAUAAUCUCAUACUUGUUGGACCCAAAAGGACCACUCUAUUAGAAAAUCUGUGUCACAGGGGAGAUUUGAACCCACAACCUUUCGCUCAAUACGCCGCUGCUCUAUUUCAGCUGCCGUGAAUUCGAUCGCCCAUGCCACAAACCCCUCACCCUGAUUACCAAAUUGUUCAACAUUCUACCCACCCUUAAGAAAUUGUAACCAAAAAGAAAAAAGAAGAGAAUUGGAGAUUUCUAGAAGCCAAAUACACUUUUCAUCUCAACACUAUCUUCAACAUAUUCUUAACAUAACUUAAAUGAUCUGCUAAACAAAGAUUGGGGGUAGUGUCAAAUUAAAUAAUAUAUAAAAAAUAUUUUGUAAAAUUACCUCAAUUAUACUUAAAUUAGAAAGGGCUAAAAUUAUUGGAAGGAUUAAAUAUUCAUCUGGUUGAGCAAGAUUUGGAAUCCAUAGAAAUCCACCAACUGCCAACUGCAAAUAUAAGACCUGGG